ACAUUUAUUUAUUUCCAGUGCAUCACGGAAGAGUAGCAAAAGAAGACGAGAAAAUAACCGAAGAAAAAGUCGAACAAAGCUUAAGAAAAGAACACUUGUAUGUACCUUCUCUGCAAAGGAUACACAAGUGUCUCAUUAAAAGAAAUAAAGGACAAGCCAAGCGCCGACGAAGUCCUUAAAGUCGACUCGAAUCCCUGGCUGACGACAAGGACGGGGAGACGGCGGAGCGAGCGAGUGCGAGCGAGAGGAGUGGAGGGCAGACUGCAAGGAAAGGGCGAUUGAAAGGCAGUCGUCGCAACGUGAGCGACUUCAAGGACAACUACGGCCAACAACAAGAACAAGUGCCAAAAAAAUCAACGAAAAUGCGCUAUUAAGGCAAUUUUUUCGGUUGGAAUCCAACCAAACCCCGAACUUCUCCUCCCCACGAAAUCCAAAGACUGCACCGGG
ensembl:ncRNA lncRNA:CR45754 long non-coding RNA:CR45754